GGAACCCGGCCGACAGAAGAUGGCGGAUGAGCAGCGUGCAGGGUUUUCUCCCUGUGGCUCACUCUCUCUUACUGUGCUGGGCGGUUGCUUCCUCUCCUGCUGCCCUUGGGAGUCAGACUCCAGGUUCUUCAGCCUGUGGCCCCUGGGGCUCUCGGGCCUUGGAGGACUGACUAGGAGCACACGGUGGGCCUCUCUGGUUUGGGGGCCUGGGACGUGGCGGAGCCCUGCAGCUUCUGUGCGGCCUGUUCUGGGCGUCGCGUUGAAACGCCAGCCAGUUCCCCAAAAAGAGCAUACGGGAGAGAUGAAGCAGUCCACUCCAAGAACAUUCUCAUCCUACGGAUUACGAGUCCCCCUGGGAUUACAGGAGUGUUGAAGAAAUGUUGUGACACAUCAGAACACCGCGAAAUACAUGGACACUUUCAAAUCAUGGAAGACUCAAGAGUCCUUGUUUUUGCCCAGUAUUAUAAACUGAGUUACAUAAAGGCAGAGCAAAUGCUAAAGCAAACUGUCCAGAAGGAAGGACAGCAGUAAGUGGAGAGACGUUAUUGCAAACAAGCACCUGGCAACAGCUGUGUUAGUUGCCCACCAGGUAUUUUUGAAAAAAGUACUCUGUGAAAAACAGAAACUGCAAGCAAGACAGAUACCAGGAUUAGGGAUCACGGUGACUUCUACCAUCGCUGGAUACUCCCAAAAGGGUUCUCGAGACAGCAGCUGUGUCUGCCCUGCUUUGGCAUUCUUUCCCAGGCAUGGCGACCGUAAGUCAAAAUGUAAUCCUUAGCUGGUCAUACAAGCCCUGUCAUUACUCAUAUAUGCAGAUGAUAUUUUAAAUUCUUCCAGUUUUUUUUUAGGGAGGAGUAUUAAAACAUGAGUAAAAAUUAAUUUGUGGGCUCACUGACAAUGGGGUUUAAUUUGCAUUUUUAUCCUCAUUGAUUAGCACCAAGCCCAGAAGAACUUGUGUUCAUUAAGAACUUGUUGAUUGAGCAGCUAGAAAGGGGCUUGUCUUCCAUAAGGAGAUCUCUACUCUUGUGGGUUUUACUCUCUAGCAGAGGGACAUGAGCAACAGACAAUAAAAUAAAUAUUACAUGGUAUAUUUGAACAAUAUAAAUGCCACGAAAAUGAAAAAUAAAAGUGCAGAGCAAGGAAGAGAGAUGAGAAGGCCAACUGAGAUCUUAAAUGAAGUGGGGAUGGUGGGCCUCACAGAGAGGAGAUGACACACUUGAAGAAGGUGAAGGGGCAAGCACAGAUACUCUGGGGAAUGUGCAUUCCUGCCAGGACCAUCAGUGCUAAAGCCGUAAGUGGAGGUGUGCCUGGCACUUGCCAGGAAUAAUGAGGAAGGGGAGGUGGCAGAGGAGAGCUGAGCUGCCAGGAGAAUGGCACAGGACAUUGGAGGGCUGAUGAGGUCCAGAUGACAUGUGGCUUCACAAACCAUUGCAAGGAUAUGGCAUCUGCUCUGAGUCAAAUGGAAAUUUAUUGCAGGAUUUGAAAAAAGAGUGAUGGCUGUGUCCAGUGGCUCAUGCCUAGAAUCCCAGCACUAUGGGAGGCCGAGACAGGCAGAUCACUUGAGCCCAGGAGUUUUAGACCAGCCUGUGCAACAGGGUGAAACCUCGUUUCUACCAAAAAUACAAAAAUGCAUGGGCGUGGUGGCACAUGCAAAUAGUUCCAGCUAAUCAGGAUGCUGAGGUGGGAGGAUCACUUGAGCUCUGGCAAGUGGAGCCUGCAGUGAGCUGAGAUCACCACCACACUCCAGUCUGGGCAACAGAAUGAGAUCCUGUCUCAAUAAAAAGAAAAAA
ensembl:lncRNA LINC01446 long intergenic non-protein coding RNA 1446